GCCUAAUACUGCAAGUCGAACGCACAGCGAAAGGUGCUUGCACCUUUCAAGUGAGUGGCGAACGGGUGAGUAACACGUGGACAACCUGCCUCAAGGCUGGGGAUAACAUUUGGAAACAGAUGCUAAUACCGAAUAAAACUUAGUGUCGCAUGACACAAAGUUAAAAGGCGCUUCGGCGUCACCUAGAGAUGGAUCCGCGGUGCAUUAGUUAGUUGGUGGGGUAAAGGCCUACCAAGACAAUGAUGCAUAGCCGAGUUGAGAGACUGAUCGGCCACAUUGGGACUGAGACACGGCCCAAACUCCUACGGGAGGCUGCAGUAGGGAAUCUUCCACAAUGGGCGAAAGCCUGAUGGAGCAACGCCGCGUGUGUGAUGAAGGCUUUCGGGUCGUAAAGCACUGUUGUAUGGGAAGAACAGCUAGAAUAGGAAAUGAUUUUAGUUUGACGGUACCAUACCAGAAAGGGACGGCUAAAUACGUGCCAGCAGCCGCGGUAAUACGUAUGUCCCGAG
rnacentral:rRNA from 1 species